UACGUAGGGGGCAAGCGUUGUCCGGAAUCAUUGGGCGUAAAGCGCGUGUAGGCGGCUCGGGUAGUCUGGUGUGAAAAUCUUUCGGCUCAACCGGAAGCGGUCACUGGAUACUCUCGGGCUUGAGUCCGGAAGAGGAGAGUGGAAUUCCUGGUGUAGCGGUGGAAUGCGCAGAUAUCAGGAGGAACACCAAUGGCGAAGGCAGCUCUCUGGUACGUGACUGACGCUGAGACGCGAAAGCGUGGGGAGCGAACAGG
rnacentral:rRNA from 1 species